GUGCUUGCUUUGGCAACACAUAUAUUAAAAAUUGGAAUGAUGCAGAGAAGAUUAGCAUAGUCCUUGUGCAAGGAUGACAUGCAAAUUCAUGAAGUGGUCCAUAUUUUU
rnacentral:snRNA from 1 species